rnacentral:rRNA from 1 species
UCGAGCGAAAUAAUUGAGAGCUUGCUUUUAUUAUUUUAGCGGCGGACGGGUGAGUAACGUGUGGGCAACCUGCCUUUUACUGGGGAAUAAUCACUGGAAACGGUGACUAAUACCGCAUAAUAUUCUUAGGAGGCAUCUUCUGAGAAGGAAAGGAGAAAUUCGGUAAAAGAUGGGCCCGCAUCUGAUUAGCUAGUUGGUGGGAUAACAGCCCACCAAGGCGACGAUCAGUAGCCGACCUGAGAGGGUGACCGGCCACAUUGGGACUGAGACACGGCCCAAACUCCUACGGGAGGCAGCAGUGGGGAAUAUUGCACAAUGGGGGAAACCCUGAUGCAGCAACGCCGCGUGAAGGAAGACGGUUUUCGGAUUGUAAACUUCUAUCAAUAGGGAAGAAAGAAAUGACGGUACCUAAAUAAGAAGCCCCGGCUAACCACGUGCCAGCAGCCGCGGUAAUACGUAGGGGGCAAGCGUUAUCCGGAAUUACUGGGUGUAAAGGGAGAGUAGGCGGCAAGGUAAGCGAUAUGUGAAAGCCUUAGGCUUAACCUGAGGAUUGCAUAACGAACUAUCUAGCUAGAGUACAGGAGAGGAAAGCGGAAUUCCUAGUGUAGCGGUGAAAUGCGUAGAUAUUAGGAAGAACACCAGUGGCGAAGGCGGCUUUCUGGACUGAAACUGACGCUGAGGCUCGAAAGCGUGGGGAGCGAACAGGAUUAGAUACCCUGGUAGCCCACGCUGUAAACGAUGAGUGCUAGGUGUCGGGGAGGAAUCCUCGGUGCCG